rnacentral:rRNA from 1 species
GACGAACGCUGGCGGCGUGCCUAAUACAUGCAAGUAGGACGCAGUUGCGAACGGGUGAUUUACGCGUAGGUAACUACCUAUUAGAGGGGGCUAACUAUUGGAAACGAUAGCUAAUACCGCAUACUAGUAGAUGGACCUGCGUUGUAUUAGGUAGUAGGUCGGGUAAUGGCCUACCUAGGCAAUGAUACAUAACCGACCCUGAAGGGUGAUCGGCCAAACUGGGACUGGGGAACGGGCCAAACACCUACGGGAGGGAGCAGGAGGGAAUCUUCGGCAAUGGGGGGAACGCUGGCCGAGCAACGCCGCGGGAGUGAAGAAGGUUUUCAGAUCGUAAAACUCUGUUGGUAAGGAAGCGGUACUUAACCAGAAAGGAACGGCUAACUACGUGCCAGCAGCCGCGGUAAUAC